CCUACGGGUGGCAGCAGUGGGGGAUAUUGCACAAUGGGGGAAACCCUGAUGCAGCGACGCCGCGUGGGUGAAGAAGCGCCUCGGCGCGUAAAGCCCUGUCAGCAGGGAAGAAAAUGACGGUACCUGAAGAAGAAGCUCCGGACAACUACGUGCCAGCAGACGCGGUAAAACGUAGGGGGAAAGCGUUAGCCGGAUUUACGGGGUGGAAAGGGGGCGGAGACGGGGAUGAGAGCCAGGAGUGAAAGCCCAGGGCCCAACCCCUGGACUGCGCUUGGAACUGAGUGGCUAGAGUGCAGGAGAGGCAGGCGGAAUUCCUGGUGUAGCGGUGAAAUGCGUAGAUAUUAGGAGGAACACCAGUGGCGAAGGCGGUCUGCUGGACAGCAACUGACGCUGAGGCGCGAAAGCGUGGGGAGCAAACAGGAUUAGAUACCCGAGUAGUC
rnacentral:rRNA from 1 species